CCCUUAGAUGUUCUGGGCCGCACGCGUGCUACACUGAGUGGAUCAGCGGGUCAGGUUGCGCGAAAGUGUUUCCUAAUCUUUAAAUCCGCUCGUGAUGGGGAUUGACGGUUGCAAUUUUCCGUCAUGAACGAGGAAUACCUUGUAAGCGCGGGUCAUCAUCCCGCGCUGAGUACGUCCCUGCCCUUUGUACACACCGCCCGUCGCUCCUACCGAUUGAGUGGUCCGGUGAGGCUUUGGGAUCUGAGCGGAAAGAGCGUUUCGCUGUUUCUGCCCGGAAAACUCAGUCGAACCUUAUCAUUUAGAGGAAGGAGAAGUCGUAACA
rnacentral:rRNA from 1 species